rnacentral:rRNA from 1 species
CCUACGGGAGGCUGCAGUGGGGAAUAUUGCGCAAUGGGCGAAAGCCUGACGCAGCGACGCCGCGUGAGGGAUGAAGGUCUUCGGAUCGUAAACCUCUGUCAGCAGGGAAGAACGGUCACUGUGCUAAUCAGCAGUGAAUUGACGGUACCUGCAAAGGAAGCACCGGCUAACUCCGUGCCAGCAGCCGCGGUAAUACGGAGGGUGCGUGCGUUAAUCGGAAUUACUGGGCGUAAAGCGUUCGUAGGCGGUAUGUCAAGUCAAGGGUGAAAUCCCCGCGCUCAACGUGGGAACUGCCUGGGAAACUGGCAAACUGGAGUGUGUGAGAGGAAAGUGGAAUUCCAGGUGUAGGGGUGAAAUGCGUAGAUAUCAGGAGGAACAUCAGUGGCGAAGGCGACUAUCUGGCACAUAACUGACGCUGAGGAGCGAAAGCGUGGGUAGCAAACAGGAUUAGAUACCCCAGUAGUC